CUCCUUACAUAAUCCUCCGAAUAUAAACAUCAGUUUAUUCAGCUGAAUCGUUCUCCUUCAAUUAGGCUUUAUGAUUGAAUCUCUACAGCCACAAAGGAAUUCAAUUCUCCAUCAUUUGUUACUGGUCGCCUUGGAAAUCCUCCUCCCACAUUAACUAUCCAUGUUACCAUCGUCACUUCUAAAUCCCACCACAACCCUAACUGAAUGUUGCCCUUGAAGCGUCGUGCGUUUCCAUCCCACCCACUCAAUCUUAGGUUUAGCGUGUCCUUUAUUAAUUCAACAUCCCCUUGAUUUUGAUGUAUUCACUGAGAAGAUUGAAAGAGCAAUCAAGAGGCAAAAAGUCGUCCGAGAGCACCUUCAUCUGUCGUCCUUUGAUUCUUCAAUCUCUGUCGUCCGAGAGCACCUUCAUCUGUCGUCCUUUGAUUCUUCAAUCUCUAUAAUUUUAUUCUCACCAAACUGUUUCUUAUAGUUUGCAAUUGAUCAUGAUGAUGAACAGAAGAAACUGUUGAUGUUGAAUGAUGAUGAGUCCACACCAAAAGAUAAAGGUUAUGGUUGGGGACCAAAAUGUGGGAAUUAUUAGAUUAAUCAGGUUAGUAUGUCAUUGUAGUUGGUGUUAUGUGCUUGAGAUUUGUUUAUUGUGCCUAAUUUUGCCUAUUCACGGCUCGUUGUCUUCUAUUGAUGAUCAAACACGGCAACUGGCUCAAACAUCAAAAGAUGUCGAACAACGUGUUAAUACCGUGUUAGAGCAUUCACAGUCGAUUUACGAACAGUCUCUUAAGGUAUCAGAUUCUCAAAUGGAGCUGCACAAUGGACAAAUAAAAAUGAGUGAAAGGAUUUAUGAAGGAAUGUCGAUGCUUAACGAAUCUGACAAUAAGUUGGGUGAAGAAAUGGUUAGUUUAAGGAGCGAAGCAGUUGAAAUAGAAAAGGAAAUUGGUAAAGUAGGAGAUGCGAUGUUUAUGAAGAUGAAUAGUUUACAAAGUAAAGCCAAUGAUAUCGAGAACAUAACGGAAACUUCGUUAGACAGACAAAAGCAACUUCUUGAAAGCCAGAGUUCCACACUCAAGGUUCUCCGGACAGUCACAAGGUUUCAGUCACAAGCACUAGAAGAAAGCAGGGGAAGUCUGCAACAGUUGAUUAAGCUUGGUCAAAGUCAACAAUAGGAACUGAUACAAAGGCAAGAACAGCUUAAAAAAUCUCAUGAGGAUUUAGUUGAGAAUUCGAAAACUAUAUUAGAUGCUCAGGUUCGCCUUUCCGAUUUAGUUGUCUUUUUAGUUAAAUGCACGUUUAAAUAUUCUGAUGAAUUCGUUUGUAUUCGACAUGAUAUUUUCAAGUCAAAGCAAUCAAACAUGUUUGUUGCCAUCGACAAGCUUUUUACUCUACACAAUGCAAUUUUGCUUAAAUCGCGAGUCAUCAAAGCUUUCCUUGUGUAUUCUCUAUUAAUAUUCACUAUUUACAUGUUUACGAGUACAAAACAAACCUACAGUCUGAGAUCCAGGCUAUAUGUAGGGUUAUGAGCGAUAUUCUUGAUUGAAUUUAUGGUGCUUCGAUAUGGAAAUGAUAUUGAACGACAAUCGUGGAUUAUAACCAUUGCUCGGUUAAUAUUUGUGGUUCUCGCGUCAUGUCAACUUUUGUACGCCAUUUAUACAUACAGAGACUAUCAGACAUUGAACCAUGAAAUGCCACAAUCACUUAUUGAGAAGGUUAAUGGAAUGCAAGGAAAGAAACAAUUUUUAUGUGAAGAUGAUGAUGAUAGUGAUGUUGACUGGUCUUCAUGGGUUGACAAAGAUAUAUCUGAUAAUGAAUUGGAAGAUCUUGACUACCGUAUGCCCCUGGAGCAACUCGACAAGGCUUCAAUCACCCCUAGAGCGUACAAUCUCCGUAACCGACUUAGUCGAUAGCUUAAUUAUUGUUUUGUAAUUAAUUAAAGAAGCAUGCAUGCAUGUAUGUAUCCAUAGAUAUAACUAAUGAAUUAUCCAUGUAUGUCAAAGUUCAUUGUUUAUUUUGCAAUAUACCAUUCUGAAAGUCAGUUACCACUAAA